rnacentral:rRNA from 1 species
GUUUGAUCCUGGCUCAGAUUGAACGCUGGCGGCAUGCCUAACACAUGCAAGUCGAACGGCAGCACAGCAGAGCUUGCUCUGUGGGUGGCGAGUGGCGGACGGGUGAGUAAUGCAUCGGGACCUACCCAGACGUGGGGGAUAACGUAGGGAAACUUACGCUAAUACCGCAUACGUCCUACGGGAGAAAGCGGGGGACCUUCGGGCCUCGCGCGGUUGGACGGACCGAUGUUCGAUUAGCUAGUUGGUAAGGUAAUGGCUUACCAAGGCGACGAUCGAUAGCUGGUCUGAGAGGAUGAUCAGCCACACUGGGACUGAGACACGGCCCAGACUCCUACGGGAGGCAGCAGUGGGGAAUAUUGGACAAUGGGCGCAAGCCUGAUCCAGCAAUGCCGCGUGUGUGAAGAAGGCCUUCGGGUUGUAAAGCACUUUUAUCAGGAACGAAAUACCACGGGUUAAUAACCUAUGGGGCUGACGGUACCUGAGGAAUAAGCACCGGCUAACUUCGUGCCAGCAGCCGCGGUAAUACGAAGGGUGCAAGCGUUAAUCGGAAUUACUGGGCGUAAAGGGUGCGUAGGCGGUUCGUUAAGUCUGUCGUGAAAUCCCCGGGCUCAACCUGGGAAUGGCGAUGGAUACUGGCGAGCUAGAGUGUGUCAGAGGAUGGUGGAAUUCCCGGUGUAGCGGUGAAAUGCGUAGAGAUCGGGAGGAACAUCAGUGGCGAAGGCGGCCAUCUGGGACAACACUGACGCUGAAGCACGAAAGCGUGGGGGGCAAACAGGAUUAGAUACCCUGGUAGUCCACGCCCU